rnacentral:rRNA from 1 species
UCUAGAGAGUUUGAUUACUGGCUCAGGAUGAACGCUGGCGGCGUGCUUAACACAUGCAAGUCGAACGGGCUUAGAUCGGAAGCUUGCUUUGAUUUAAGUUAGUGGCGGACGGGUGAGUAACGCGUGGGUAACCUACCCUGUGCAGGGGGAUAGCAGCUGGAAACGGCUGAUAAAACCGCAUAACACGGCGAUGCCGCAUGGCAAUGCCGUCAAAUAUUUAUAGGCACAGGAUGGGCCCGCGUCUGAUUAGCUAGUUGGCGGGGCAACGGCCCACCAAGGCGACGAUCAGUAGCCGGCCUGAGAGGGUGAACGGCCACAUUGGGACUGAGACACGGCCCAAACUCCUACGGGAGGCAGCAGUGGGGAAUAUUGGACAAUGGGGGAAACCCUGAUCCAGCGAACCGCCGCGUGAGUGAAGAAGUAUUUCGGUAUGUAAAGCUCUAUCAGCAGGGAAGAUGAUGACGGUACCUGACUAAGAAGCACCGGCUAAAUACGUGCCAGCAGCGGC